UACAGAGGUCCCAAGCGUUUGUUCGGAUUCACUGGGCGUAAAGGGUGCGUAGGUGGCCAGGUAAGUUUGGUGUGAAAGCUCGGAGCUUAACUCCGAAAAGUCAUUGAAUACUAUCUGGCUGGAGGGUCGGAGGGGAGACUGGAAUUCUCGGUGUAGCAGUGAAAUGCGUAGAUAUCGAGAGGAACACCAGUGGCGAAGGCGAGUCUCUGGGACGACUCCCUGACACUGA
rnacentral:rRNA from 1 species